rnacentral:rRNA from 1 species
CUGCGGCAGCGACGCUGAUGCGUUGUUGGGUAGGGGAGCGUUCUGUAAGCCUGCGAAGGUGGCCUGUGAGGGUUGCUGGAGGUAUCAGAAGUGCGAAUGCUGACAUAAGUAACGAUAAAGCGGGUGAAAAGCCCGCUCGCCGGAAGACCAAGGGUUCCUGUCCAACGUUAAUCGGGGCAGGGUGAGUCGACCCCUAAGGCGAGGCCGAAAGGCGUAGUCGAUGGGAAACGGGUUAAUAUUCCCGUACUUGGUGUUACUGCGAAGGGGGGACGGAGAAGGCUAUGUUGGCCGGGCGACGGUUGUCCCGGUUUAAGCGUGUAGGUGUGUGUUCCAGGUAAAUCCGGUUCACUUUAACACUGAGGCGUGAUGACGAGGCACUACGGUGCUGAAGCAACAAAUGCCCUGCUUCCAGGAAAAGCCUCUAAGCAUCAGGUAACAUCAAAUCGUACCCCAAACCGACACAGGUGGUCAGGUAGAGAAUACCAAGGCGCUUGAGAGAACUCGGGUGAAGGAACUAGGCAAAAUGGUGCCGUAACUUCGGGAGAAGGCACGCUGACACGUAGGUGAAGUGAUUUACUCAUGGAGCUGAAGUCAGUCGAAGAUACCAGCUGGCUGCAACUGUUUAUUAAAAACACAGCACUGUGCAAACACGAAAGUGGACGUAUACGGUGUGACGCCUGCCCGGUGCCGGAAGGUUAAUUGAUGGGGUCAGCGCAAGCGAAGCUCCUGAUCGAAGCCCCGGUAAACGGCGGCCGUAACUAUAACGGUCCUAAGGUAGCGAAAUUCCUUGUCGGGUAAGUUCCGACCUGCACGAAUGGCGUAAUGAUGGCCAGGCUGUCUCCACCCGAGACUCAGUGAAAUUGAACUCGCUGUGAAGAUGCAGUGUACCCGCGGCAAGACGGAAAGACCCCGUGAACCUUUACUAUAGCUUGACACUGAACAUUGAGCCUUGAUGUGUAGGAUAGGUGGGAGGCUUUGAAGUGUGGACGCCAGUCUGCAUGGAGCCGGCCUUGAAAUACCACCCUUUAAUGUUUGAUGUUCUAACGUGGACCCGUGAUCCGGGUUGCGGACAGUGUCUGGUGGGUAGUUUGACUGGGGCGGUCUCCUCCUAAAGAGUAACGGAGGAGCACGAAGGUUGGCUAAUCCUGGUCGGACAUCAGGAGGUUAGUGCAAUGGCAUAAGCCAGCUUGACUGCGAGCGUGACGGCGCGAGCAGGUGCGAAAGCAGGUCAUAGUGAUCCGGUGGUUCUGAAUGGAAGGGCCAUCGCUCAACGGAUAAAAGGUACUCCGGGGAUAACAGGCUGAUACCGCCCAAGAGUUCAUAUCGACGGCGGUGUUUGGCACCUCGAUGUCGGCUCAUCACAUCCUGGGGCUGAAGUAGGUCCCAAGGGUAUGGCUGUUCGCCAUUUAAAGUGGUACGCGAGCUGGGUUUAGAACGUCGUGAGACAGUUCGGUCCCUAUCUGCCGUGGGCGCUGGAGAACUGAGGGGGGCUGCUCCUAGUACGAGAGGACCGGAGUGGACGCAUCACUGGUGUUCGGGUUGUCAUGCCAAUGGCACUGCCCGGUAGCUAAAUGCGGAAGAGAUAAGUGCUGAAAGCAUCUAAGCACGAAACUUGCCCCGAGAUGAGUUCUCCCUGAGACUUAGAGUCUCCUGAAGGAACGUUGAAGACGACGACGUUGAUAGGCCGGGUGUGUAAGCGCAGCGAUGCGUUGAGCUAACCGGUACUAAUGAACCGUGAGGCUUAACCUUACAACGCCGAAG